CCUACGGGAGGCAGCAGUCGAGAAUCAUUCACAAUGGGGGAAACCCUGAUGGUGCGACGCCGCGUGGGGGAAUGAAGGUCUUCGGAUUGUAAACUCCUGUCAUGUGGGGGCAAAUUAUAAAGAUAGUACCAUAAGAGGAUGAGACGGCUAACUCUGUGCCAGCAGCCGCGGUAAUACAGAGGGCGCACGCGUUGUUCGGAAGCACUGGGCGUAAGGGGUGCGUAGGCGGUUUUGUAAGUCGUGUGUGAAAGGUGCGGGCUGAACCCAGGAACGGCACAUGAUACUGCGAAACUAGAGUAAUUGAGGGAGGACCGGAAUUCUAGGUGUAGCAGUGAAAUGCGUAGAGAUCGAGAGGAACACUCGUGGCGAAGGCGGGUUCCUGGACAUGAACUGACGCUGAGGCACGAAGGCCAGGGGAGCGAAAGGGAUUAGAUACCCGUGUAGUC
rnacentral:rRNA from 1 species